rfam:Micromonospora echinospora strain DSM 43816 genome assembly, chromosome: I
CUUGAUCGAUCCCAACAGCAACGGCUCGGUACGGUCCUGCCCGUACGUGGCGAGCAGCGCCUGCGCCUC